GUUGAACGCUGACAGCAUGCUUAACACAUGCAAGUCGACCUGUGGCCGACGGGUGCGUAACGCGUAAAGAACUUGCCUCUCAGUUAGGCUCCACGUUUGGAAACGAAUGCUAAUACCUGCUACUGGGAGCGAGGGUUGGGUCCCAUUCGCUAGUUGGAGAGGUAACGGCUCACGAAGGCGAUGAUGGGUAGCCGGCCUGAAAGGGUGAUCGGCCACAAGGGGACUGGGACGCGGCCCUUGCGGAUACGGGGAGAAGGAGGGGGGAAUAUAGGACAAUGGGCCAAAGUCUGAUCCAGCAAUUCGGUGUGAACGAUGAAGUUUUCGGAAGGAAGGGUGCUGUGAGAUGAGAAGCGGUACCAGCAGAAGAAGCGACGGCUAAAUACGUGCCAGCAGCCGCGGUAAUUC
rnacentral:rRNA from 1 species